AGUAUACUGGUCCUGAUCAAAUUCAGAUGGGAUCGAUGUACCGGGAAGGUUCUUCUUCGCGGCAUUAGGAAGGGUGGUCUCUAUCAACUUGAUGUUUCAUCUCCAAUUCCUCAGGCUUACAUAGGAGAACGUGCUAGUUUACAAGCCUGGCAUGCUAGAAUGGGUCAUCCAAUGAUGCGCACAGUUCGCAAAGUUAUUUCUCAGUUUUCUCUUCCAGUUUCAAAUCAAACUAUCAGUUUUUGUUCUUUUUGUCAUGAGCAUAGAAGUCAUAAAUUACCCUUUCAAUCCA